rnacentral:rRNA from 1 species
UACGGAGGGUGCAAGCGUUGUUCGGAUUGACUGGGCGUAAAGGGCGUGUAGGCGGUCGGCCAAGUCUGAUGUGAAAGCCCGAGGCUCAGCCUCGGAAGUGCGUCGGAAACUAGUCGGCUGGAGCGCGAUAGAGGAGGGUGGAAUUCCUGGUGUAGCGGUGAAAUGCGUAGAUAUCAGGAGGAACACCGGCGGCGAAGGCGGCCCUCUGGAUCGUUGCUGACGCUGAGACGCGAAAGCGUGGGGAGCAAACAGG